UGGGGAAUAUUGGACAAUGGGCGAAAGCCUGAUCCAGCCAUGUCGCGUGUGUGAAGAAGGUCUUCGGAUUGUAAAGCACUUUAAGUUGGGAGGAAGGGCAUUAACCUAAUACGUUAGUGUUUUGACGUUACCGACAGAAUAAGCACCGGCUAACUCUGUGCCAGCAGCCGCGGUAAUACAGAGGGUGCAAGCGUUAAUCGGAAUUACUGGGCGUAAAGCGCGCGUAGGUGGUUUGUUAAGUUGGAUGUGAAAGCCCCGGGCUCAACCUGGGAACUGCAUCCAAAACUGGCAAGCUAGAGUACGGUAGAGGGUGGUGGAAUUUCCUGUGUAGCGGUGAAAUGCGUAGAUAUAGGAAGGAACACCAGUGGCGAAGGCGACCACCUGGACUGAUAUUGACACUGAGGUGCGAAAGCGUGGGGAGCAAACA
rnacentral:rRNA from 1 species